CCUGUUUACCAAAAACAUCACCUCUAGCAUCACUAGUAUUAGAGGCACUGCCUGCCCAGUGACACACGUUUAACGGCCGCGGUACCCUGACCGUGCAAAGGUAGCAUAAUCACUUGUUCUUUAAAUGGGGACUCGCAUGAAAGGCACCACGAGGGUUUAACUGUCUCUUACUUUUAACCAGUGAAAUUGACCUGCCCGCGAAGAGGCGGGCAUAAAAUAAUAAGACGAGAAGACCCUAUGGAG
rnacentral:rRNA from 1 species